rnacentral:rRNA from 1 species
GGAGCACGCCGCGUGAGUGAUGAAGGUUUUCGGAUCGUAAAACUCUGUUGUUAGGGAAGAACAAGUACCGUUCGAAUAGGGCGGUACCUUGACGGUACCUAACCAGAAAGCCACGGCUAACUACGUGCCAGCAGCCGCGGUAAUACGUAGGUGGCAAGCGUUGUCCGGAAUUAUUGGGCGUAAAGCGCGCGCAGGCGGUUUCUUAAGUCUGAUGUGAAAGCCCCCGGCUCAACCGGGGAGGGUCAUUGGAAACUGGGGAACUUGAGUGCAGAAGAGGAGAGUGGAAUUCCACGUGUAGCGGUGAAAUGCGUAGAGAUGUGGAGGAACACCAGUGGCGAAGGCGACUCUCUGGUCUGUAACUGACGCUGAGGCGCGAAAGCGUGGGGAGCGAACAGGAUUAGAUACCCUGGUAGUCCACGCCGUAAACGAUGAGUGCUAAGUGUUAGAGGGUUUCCGCCCUUUAGUGCUGCAGCAAACGCAUUAAGCACUCCGCCUGGGGAGUACGGUCGCAAGACUGAAACUCAAAGGAAUUGACGGGGGCCCGCACAAGCGGUGGAGCAUGUGGUUUAAUUCGAAGCAACGCGAAGAACCUUACCAGGUCUUGACAUCCUCUGACAACCCUAGAGAUAGGGCUUCCCCUUCGG